rnacentral:rRNA from 1 species
CGGGAGUCUUUCGUAGGGUGAACCUGCGGAGGGAUCAUUACACAAUAUGAAACCGGGCGGGACUCACCUCAGCAGCAUCUGCUGUUGGGGCCAGCCUUGCUGAAUUAUUCACCCCUGUCUUUUGCGUACUUCUUGUUUCCUUGGUGGGCUCGCCCACCACAAGGACAAACCAUAAACCUUUUGUAAUUGCAAUCAGCGUCAGUAACAACAUAAUAAUUACAACUUUCAACAACGGAUCUCUGGGUUCUGGCAUCGAUAAAGAACGCAGCGAAAUGCGAUAAGUAGUGUGAAUUGCAGAAUUCAGUGAAUCAUCGAAUCUUUGAACGCACAUUGCGCCCUUUGGUAUUCCAAAGGGCAUGCCUGUUCAGCGUCAUUUGUACCCUCAAGCUUUGCUUGGUGUUGGGCGUCUUGUCUCCAGUUUGCUGGAGACUCGCCUUAAAGUCAUUGGCAGCCGGCCUACUGGUUUCGGAGCGCAGCACAAGUCGCGCUCUCUUCCAGCCAAGGUCAGCAUCCAUAAAGCCUUUUUCAACUUUGACCUCGGAUCAGGUAGGGAUACCAACUGAACAUAAGCAUAUCAAUAAGCGAGAGAAUGGUCCU